AGCGAACGCUGGCGGCGUGCCUAACACAUGCAAGUCGAACGUGAAAGGGAGCAAUCCUGAGUAAAGUGGCGUACGGGUGAGUAACGCGUAGGUAAUCUACCCCAGAGUCUGGAAUAACCUGCCGAAAGGCGGGCUAAUACUGGAUAGAGCGAUGGAAUCCGUAAUUGGGUUUUUCGGGAAAGGGAGGAAGCAAUUCCCUUUGCUCUGGGAUGAGCCUGCGUCUCAUUAGCUAGUUGGUGAGGUAAUAGCUCACCAAGGCAUUGAUGGGUAGCUGGUCUGAGAGGAUGAUCAGCCACACUGGAACUGAAGCACGGUCCAGACUCCUACGGGAGGCAGCAGUGGGGAAUCUUGCGCAAUGGACGAAAGUCUGACGCAGCCACGCCGCGUGAGUGAAGAAGGCCUUCGGGUUGUAAAGCUCUGUCGCCCGGGACGAAAAUCCUAUGAGUGAAUAGCUCAUGGGACUGACGGUACCGGGAGAGGAAGCACCGGCUAACUCCGUGCCAGCAGCCGCGGUAA
rnacentral:rRNA from 1 species